rnacentral:rRNA from 1 species
AUAUUCAGGGUAGCAAUAUUCUGGAUGUUCAGCGGCGCAAGGGUGCGUAACACGUGGGUAAUCUGCCAUAAAGCCUGGAAUAACUCGCUGAAAGGCGAGCUAAUACCGGAUGUGAAGUUUGGAAGGCAUCUUUUGAACUUCAAAGCUGGGGAUCGUAAGACCUGGCACUUUAUGAUGAGCCCGCGGCCUAUCAGCUAGUUGGUGAGGUAACGGCUCACCAAGGCUAAGACGGGUAGCUGGUCUGAGAGGACGACCAGCCACACUGGAACUGAGACACGGUCCAGACACCUACGGGUGGCAGCAGUCGAGAAUUUUUCACAAUGGGCGAAAGCCUGAUGGAGCGACGCCGCGUGGGGGAUGAAUGGCUUCGGCCCGUAAACCCCUGUCAUUUGCGAACAAGUUGUUUCACCUAACACGUGAAGCAUUGAUAGUAGCGAAAGAGGAAGGGACGGCUAACUCUGUGCCAGCAGCCGCGGUAAUACAGAGGUCCCAAGCGUUGUUCGGAUUCACUGGGCGUAAAGGGUGCGUAGGCGGUCGGGUAAGUCUGACGUGAAAUCUCCAAGCUCAACUUGGAAAUGGCGUCGGAUACUAUUCGGCUCGAGGAAUGGAGGGGAGACUGGAAUUCUCGGUGUAGCAGUGAAAUGCGUAGAUAUCGAGAGGAACACCAGUGGCGAAGGCGAGUCUCUGGACAUUUCCUGACGCUGAGGCACGAAAGCCAGGGGAGCAAACGGGAUUAGAUACCCCGGUAGUCCUGGCCCUAAACGGUGCACGUUUGCUGUAAGAGGAAUCGA